GUUUUGGUCGAGGUAGUUUUUGAUGAAGUUGAAGUCCAAUCGACUUCAAACUUGGUACACAUGUUCCCUAUGAUAUGAUCUUUCUUAUUUUAAUGCCAAAUUAGAGAUUUUACCCCAAUUUCACGGUCCACUGAACAUAGAAAAAUGAUAGUGCGAGUGGGGCAUUCGUGUACUGAGGACACAUUCUUGUUUUUUAAAUUUAACAU
rnacentral:lncRNA from 1 species